rnacentral:misc_RNA from 1 species
UCCGCCUUCGCAUACUUGCCAUCCA